UACGUAGGGGGCAAGCGUUGUCCGGAUUUAUUGGGCGUAAAGCGCGUGUAGGCGGCCUGGCAAGUCGGGUGUGAAAGCCCUCAGCUCAACUGAGGAAGUGCGCCCGAAACUGCUGGGCUCGAGUGCCGGAGAGGGUGGCGGAAUUCCCCAAGUAGAGGUGAAAUUCGUAGAGAUGGGGAGGAACACCGGUGGCGAAGGCGGCCACCUGGACGGUCACUGACGCUGAGACGCGAAAGCGUGGGUAGCAAACAGG
rnacentral:rRNA from 1 species